CCCGUGUGACAGUAUCAUCAGCUCAAGGCCAGAGGCUAUGGGAGAAGGUUGGAGGUGGCAGCUGAAAUGGAGAUGCACAAGGAUCUUUACUACCACUCUUGGAGAGACUGAAAGAGGAAGGCAGCCUCUGAAGACUGACUGCCCA
rnacentral:lncRNA from 1 species